UGGAUUCAUAGAAGCAGAAGACUGAGGAGU
rnacentral:piRNA from 1 species